AGAAUCAACGCUGGCGGCGUGCCUCAGACAUGCAAGUCGAACGAUUAAACUUUCCUUCGGGAAAGAUAUAAAGUGGCGCACGGGUGAGUAACACGUAAGUAAUCUACCUUCGAGUGGGGAAUAACGUUCGGAAACGAACGCUAAUACCGCAUAAUGCAGCGGCAUCGCAAGAUGACAGUUGUUAAAGGAUUUUAUUCGCUUGAAGAGGAGCUUGCGGCAGAUUAGCUUGUUGGUAAGGUAACGGCUUACCAAGGCUACGAUCUGUAACCGGUCUAAGAGGACGGUCGGUCACACUGACACUGAAUAACGGGUCAGACUCCGUACGGGAGGCAGACAGGUCGGGUAAUUUGGGCAAGUGGGACGAAAGCCUAGACCCAGACCAACGCCGCGGUAGAAGAGUAG
rnacentral:rRNA from 1 species